GAGUGAUAUCUCCUUUCUGGAUCUUGAGGAAACUCGUCGGGGACAGAUUGAAUUGAGCCACACCAUCGCCUGACAUAUUGGAAUAAGCUCUAGUUACUUGCCGGAAGGAAAAUGUUUGUUUCACAACUGCUCGAGAAUCAAGAAAGGUGCUGAAGAUGAAUCUAGGGUUUAAGGAUCGAGAGAAUGAAGAAGAAUUGAGGAUUUGAGUGAUGCUGAAAUUAGGGGCAUUUGUAUGUACUGGGCAAAAUGAUUGGGUUAGUAGUCACUAGUCUAGUGCGUGUGUUGUUGCUUUAUUU
rnacentral:lncRNA from 1 species